GUGGGGAAUAUUGGGCAAUGGGCGCAAGCCUGACCCAGCAACGCCGCGUGAAGGAAGAAGGCUUUCGGGUUGUAAACUUCUUUUAUUCGGGACGAUAAUGACGGUACCGAAUGAAUAAGCCACGGCUAACUACGUGCCAGCAGCCGCGGUAAUACGUAGGUGGCAAGCGUUAUCCGGAUUUACUGGGUGUAAAGGGCGUGUAGGCGGGAGUGCAAGUCAGAUGUGAAAACUAUGGGCUCAACCCAUAGCCUGCAUUUGAAACUGUACUUCUUGAGUACUGGAGAGGCAGGCGGAAUUCCGUGUGUAGCGGUGAAAUGCGUAGAUAUACGGAGGAACACCAGUGGCGAAGGCGGCCUGCUGGACAGCAACUGACGCUGAGGCGCGAAAGCGUGGGGAGCAAACAGG
rnacentral:rRNA from 1 species